rnacentral:rRNA from 1 species
GAGUUUGAUCAUGGCUCAGGACGAACGCUGGCGGCGUGCCUAAUACAUGCAAGUCGAGCGGAUCUUCAUUAGCUUGCUUUUGAAGAUCAGCGGCGGACGGGUGAGUAACACGUGGGCAACCUGCCUGUAAGACUGGGAUAACUUCGGGAAACCGGAGCUAAUACCGGAUAAUCCUUUUCCUCUCAUGAGGAAAAGCUGAAAGACGGUUUCGGCUGUCACUUACAGAUGGGCCCGCGGCGCAUUAGCUAGUUGGUGAGGUAACGGCUCACCAAGGCGACGAUGCGUAGCCGACCUGAGAGGGUGAUCGGCCACACUGGGACUGAGACACGGCCCAGACUCCUACGGGAGGCAGCAGUAGGGAAUCUUCCGCAAUGGACGAAAGUCUGACGGAGCAACGCCGCGUGAGCGAUGAAGGCCUUC